rnacentral:rRNA from 1 species
GACGAACGCUGGCGGCGCGCUUAACACAUGCAAGUCGAGCGAGAACCGGUCCUUCGGGACCGGGGAAAGCGGCGAACGGGUGGGUAACACGUGAGUAAUCCACCCUCGGUACCGGGAUAGCCCGGGGAAACCCGGAUUAAUACCGGAUGGCCCAGCAGCUCUUCGGGGCGGCUGGAAAAGGUAGCUUCGGCCUCCGGCCGAGGACGAGCCCGCGGCGGAUUAGCUUGUUGGUGGGGUAAUGGCCUACCAAGGAGACGAUCCGUAGCUGGUCUGAGAGGACGAUCAGCCACACUGGGACUGAGACACGGCCCAGACUCCUACGGGAGGCAGCAGCGGGGAAUCUUGCGCAAUGGGCGAAAGCCUGACGCAGCGACGCCGCGUGAGGGAAGAAGGCUUCCGGGUUGUAAACCUCUUUCAGGAGGGACGAAGCUACUCGGGUGAGUAGCCCAGAGGGUGACGGUACCUCCAGAAGAAGCCCCGGCUAACUACGUGCCAGCCGCCGCCGUAAGAC